CCUACGGGAGGCUGCAGUGAGGAAUAUUGGUCAAUGGGCGCGAGCCUGAACCAGCCAAGUAGCGUGAAGGAUGACUGCCCUACGGGUUGUAAACUUCUUUUAUAAUGGAAUAAAGUGAGGCAUGUGUGCCUUUUUGUAUGUACUUUAUGAAUAAGGCUCGGCUAACUCCGUGCCAGCAGCCGCGGUAAUACGGAGGAUCCGAGCGUUAUCCGGAUUUAUUGGGUUUAAAGGGAGCGUAGAUGGGUUGUUAAGUCAGUUGUGAAAGUUUGCGGCUCAACCGUAAAAUUGCAUUUGAUACUGGCAGCCUUGAGUACAGUAGAGGUGGGCGGAAUUCGUGGUGUAGCGGUGAAAUGCUUAGAUAUCACGAAGAACUCCGAUUGCGAAGGCAGCUUACUAAACUGCAACUGACAUUGAUGCUCGAAAGUGUGGGUAUCAAACAGGAUUAGAUACCCCGGUAGUC
rnacentral:rRNA from 1 species